rnacentral:rRNA from 1 species
UACGUAGGCAGCGAGCGUUGUUCGGAGUUACUGGGCGUAAAGCGUGCGUAGGCGGUUGUCUAAGUCUGGUGUGAAAUCUCCCGCUCAACUGGGAGGGUGCGCCGGAAACUGGAUGACUGGAGUGCCGGAGAGGUAAGCGGAAUUCCUGGUGUAGCGGUGAAAUGCGUAGAUAUCGGGAGGAACACCAGUGGCGAAGGCGGCUUCCUGGACCGGUUCUGACACUGAGGAGCGAAAGCGUGGGGAGCAAACAGG